GAUGAACGCUAGCGGCAGGCUUAAUACAUGCAAGUCGAACGGUAACAUGAGUAGCAAUACUUGAUGACGAGUGGCGCACGGGUGCGUAACGCGUAUGCAAUCUACCUUCAACUGGUGAAUAGCCCGAAGAAAUUCGGAUUAAUACACCAUAGUAUAUUAGAGUGGCAUCACUUUAAUAUUAAAACUCCGGUGGUUGAAGAUGAGCAUGCGUGACAUUAGCUAGUUGGCGAGGUAAUGGCUCACCAAGGCUACGAUGUCUAGGGGAUCUGAGAGGA
rnacentral:rRNA from 1 species